GAAAACAUUUACUGGCUGCGACAUCUGUCACCCCAUUGAUCGCCAGGGUUGAUUCGGCUGAUCUGGCUGGCUAGGCGGGUGUCCCCUUCCUCCCUCACCGCUCCAUGUGCGUCCCUCCCGAAGCUGCGCGCUCGGUCGAAGAGGACGGCCUUCCCCGAAUAGAGACGGACCGGUCUUCAGUCGAGGGUAUACGAGUAGCUGCGCUCCCCUGCUAGAACCUCCAAACAAGCUCUCAAGAAAACAUUUAAGCAAAUGCGAUUCUACACUAUAGAUAACUGUAAUCAAAAAAGCUAAAAGGAUGAUUAUUUGAAUGAAAUAUGUCCUACUUA
rnacentral:snRNA from 1 species